rnacentral:rRNA from 1 species
GAUGAACGCUAGCGAUAGGCUUAACACAUGCAAGUCGAGGGGCAGCAUGAUCUUAGCUUGCUAAGGUUGAUGGCGACCGGCGCACGGGUGCGUAACGCGUAUGCAACUUGCCUUACAGAGGGGGAUAACCCGUUGAAAGACGGACUAAAACCGCAUACACUUGUAUUAUUGCAUGAUAUUACAAGGAAAUAUUUAUAGCUGUAAGAUAGGCAUGCGUCCCAUUAGCUGGUUGGUGAGGUAACGGCUCACCAAGGCGACGAUGGGUAGGGGAACUGAGAGGUUUAUCCCCCACACUGGUACUGAGACACGGACCAGACUCCUACGGGAGGCAGCAGUGAGGAAUAUUGGUCAAUGGGCGAGAGCCUGAACCAGCCAAGUCGCGUGAAGGAAGACAGUCCUAAGGAUUGUAAACUUCUUUUAUACGGGAAUAACGGGCGAUACGAGUAUUGCAUUGAAUGUACCGUAAGAAUAAGCAUCGGCUAA